rnacentral:rRNA from 1 species
GCCUACGGGACGCAGCAGUAAGGAAUUUUCCGCAAUGGGCGAAAGCCUGACGGAGCAAUACCGCGUGAGGGAUGACGGCCUAUGGGUUGUAAACCUCUUUUUUCAGGGAGGAAUCAAUGACGUGUACCUGAAGAAUAAGCAUCGGCUAACUCCGUGCCAGCAGCCGCGGUAAGACGGAGGAUGCAAGUGUUAUCCGGAAUCACUGGGCGUAAAGCGUCUGUAGGUGGUUUAAUAAGUCAACUGUUAAAUCUUGAGGCUUAACCUCGAAAUCGCAGUCGAAACUAUUAGACUAGAGUAUAGUAGGGGUAAAGGGAAUUUCCAGUGGAGCGGUGAAAUGCGUAGAUAUUGGAAAGAACACCAAUGGCGAAGGCACUUUACUGGGCUAUUACUAACACUGAGAGACGAAAGCUAGGGUAGCAAAUGGGAUUAGAAACCCCUGUAGUCC